rnacentral:ncRNA from 1 species
UACCUGGUUGAUCCUGCCAGUAGUCAUAUGCUUGUCUCAAAGAUUAAGCCAUGCAAGUCUAAGUACGAGCUCUCGUACAGUGAAACUGCGAAUGGCUCAUUAAAUCAGUUAUGGUUCAUUUGAUCGUACAGUUUA